rnacentral:rRNA from 1 species
GGGACGGCCCGCCAGAGGACCCAAACUCUAAUGUUUCUUAUUGUAACUUCUGAGUAAAACAAACAAAUAAAUCAAAACUUUCAACAACGGAUCUCUUGGUUCUGGCAUCGAUGAAGAACGCAGCAAAAUGCGAUAAGUAAUGUGAAUUGCAGAAUUCAGUGAAUCAUCGAAUCUUUGAACGCACAUUGCGCCCGCUGGUAUUCCGGCGGGCAUGCCUGUUCGAGCGUCAUUUCAACCCUCAAGCCCCCGGGUUUGGUGUUGGGGAUCGGCUCUGCCCUUCUGGGCGGUGCCGCCCCCGAAAUACAUUGGCGGUCUCGCUGCAGCCUCCAUUGCGUAGUAGCUAACACCUCGCAACUGGAACGCGGCGCGGCCAUGCCGUAAAACCCCAACUUCUGAAUGUUGACCUCGGAUCAGGUAGGAAUACCCGCUGAACUUAA